GGGGUUGUGGCUCAGUGGUAGAGUGCUUGCCUCACAUGUAUGAGGCACUGGGUUCAAUUCUCAGCACCACA
rnacentral:tRNA from 1 species